UACGUAGGGUGCAAGCGUUGUCCGGAUUCACUGGGUUUAAAGGGUGCGUAGGCGGGCAGGUAAGUCCGUGGUGAAAUCUCUGAGCUUAACUCAGAAACUGCCAUGGAUACUAUUUGUCUUGAAUGUUGUGGAGGUGAGCGGAAUAUGUCAUGUAGCGGUGAAAUGCUUAGAUAUGACAUAGAACACCAAUUGCGAAGGCAGCUCACUACACAAAUAUUGACGCUGAGGCACGAAAAGCGUGGGGAUCAAACAGG
rnacentral:rRNA from 1 species